GACGAACGCUGGCGGCGUGCCUAAUACAUGCAAGUCGAACGCAGUGGGGACGGGUGAGUAACACGUGGGUAACCUCCCAUCAGAGGGGAUAACACUUGGAAACAGGUGCUAAACCGAUACUGAUGGAUGGACCCGCGGUACAUUAGCUUGUGGGUGGGGUAACGGCUCACCAAGGCGACGAUCCCUAGCUGGUCUGAGAGGAUGACCAGCCACACUGGAACUGAGACACGGUCCAGACUCCUACGGGAGGCAGCAGUGGGGAAUAUUGGACAAUGGGCGAAAGCCUGAUCCAGCCAUGCCGCGUGUAUGAAGAAGGUCUUCGGAUUGUAAAGCACUUUCAGUUGGGAGGCGUUACCAGCAGAAUAAGCACCGGCUAACUUCGUGCCAGCAGCCGCGGUAAUUC
rnacentral:rRNA from 1 species